GUCUCGAUAGCUAAGUGGUUAUAGCAUGCGAUUGCAGUUCAGUCAUCGCAGGGUCCCGUGUUCAAAUCACGGUCGGGACU